ACUGCAACUUAAUAUUGAAAUUGAAAAUAAUAUGUACAGGAUAGGUGGGAGACUGUGAACAAAAGACGCUAGUUUUUUGGGAGUCAACCUUGGGAUACCACCCUUGUUAUUUUUAUUUUCUAACCUGUGCAAGUGGAUUGCAAGGGACAGUGUUUGGUGGGCAGUUUGACUGGGGCGGUC
rnacentral:ncRNA from 1 species